CGCGGUAAUACGGAGGGUGCAAGCGUUAUCCGGAUUUAUUGGGUUUAAAGGGUCCGUAGGCGGAUCUGUAAGUCAGUGGUGAAAUCUCACAGCUUAACUGUGAAACUGCCAUUGAUACUGCAGGUCUUGAGUGUUAUUGAAGUAGCUGGAAUAAGUAGUGUAGCGGUGAAAUGCAUAGAUAUUACUUAGAACACCAAUUGCGAAGGCAGGUUACUAAGCAACAACUGACGCUGAUGGACGAAAGCGUGGGGAGCGAACAGGAUUAGAUA
rnacentral:rRNA from 1 species